GAAGGACAUCUUGGUUCACAGCAUGUUCACGAUCGCCGCGAUGUGCUUGAUGUUGUGCCAACUGGUGCCGCUGGUUGCGUACAACGAAGCGGUGAACGCACGAUU
rnacentral:rRNA from 1 species